rnacentral:lncRNA from 10 species
AUUCAAUCCCUGCAAAAAUCCUCUGAGGGGAGCACUUAAGAGCCUCUCAUUUUCCAAAAGAAGAAACUGAAGGAUAGAUCUCUAGAACCCUGAAGUUCCUGUGUUCUCAUUAACAAUUCUAUGACCUACUUUAGUUUUGAAUGUAAUUCCACAGCAGAUGGCUGGAACGUGGUCUGGGGGAUUAAGCGAGCCUUUUCAGAUUAAUGCCAAGAAAAUAUAUGCAGAAGAGACACCCAUGUCAUUGAACAAGAGGUUCUAAUAUUACAUAACAGGGUAGUGGUAUGUAGCUGUAGUGGUAUGUGCUCUCUCUCAAUGCUGAGCUGCAGCUCCCAGUCAGCCACUGGAUCAUGAGGGUAAAAUACGGAUACUUGACAUCUUCUUAAAGAACAUCAUGCCUGCUAAGCCAUCCAGUUUGGAUGCCCCAGUGCCUUCCACCAGCCAUUCUCAAGCCUCAUUAGAAGAGAGAGAUUGAUGACCCUGUAGCUGCAGCAUCCCAUCAUCCUGCAUUUUAGUUCAAUGCUUCAAACGUUCUUCAGGCCCAGUGUGCUUUCAGCUGUGUAUGUUAAUGGUGCAUCUCCUGCUGUUCCCAAUCUACUCAUCCUAGGAACCAACUCAGGUCAGGAGAAGCAAGGAAAGCCUUACAACCUGUUACUGACCGGAGGGGAUGAAGGAGACAGGGAAACUACAACACAUGGAAUGUGGUAUCCUGAAUGGGACCCUGGAACCAAAGAAUGACACUGGGGAAGAACUGCUGAAAUUCAAGUAAAAUGUGGAGUCUCGUUAGUGGCAAUGUACCAAGGUUGGAUUCUGAGUUAUAAUAACGUACCAUAAUAAUGUAAGAUGUUAUCAGUAGAGGAAAGGGGAUGAGGAGUAUAUGUCAAUUCUCUGUACUAACUUUGCAAAUUUG